UACGGGGGGAGCAAGCGUUGUUCGGAUUUACUGGGCGUAAAGGGCGCGUAGGCGGCCUCUGCAAGUCGACUGUGAAAUCUCCGGGCUUAACCCGGAACGGUCAGCCGAUACUGCAGGGCUAGAGUGCAGAAGGGGCAACUGGAAUUCUCGGUGUAGCGGUGAAAUGCGUAGAGAUCAUGAGGAAGACCAGUGGCGAAGGCGGGUCUCUGGACAGUUCCUGACACUGGAGCACGAAGGCCAGGGGAGCAAACGGG
rnacentral:rRNA from 1 species